CCCUUAGAUGUCCUGGGCCGCACGCGCGCUACACUGAACGGAUCAGCGCGUUUUCCCUUCCCGAGAGGGACGGGUAACCUGCUGAACCCCGUUCGUGGUAGGGAUCGGGGCUUGCAAUUAUUCCCCGUGAACCAGGAAUGCCCAGUAAGUGCAAGUCAUAAGCUUGCGUUGAUUACGUCCCUGCCCUUUGUACACACCGCCCGUCGCUACUACCGAUUGAACGUUUUAGUGAGGUACUCGGACUGAGCCUCAGAAGAUUCACGUCUUUUGUGCUGCUCGGGAAGAUUCCCAAACUUGAGCGUUUAGAGGGAGUAAAAGUCGUAACA
rnacentral:rRNA from 1 species